UGAGGAAUAUUGGUCAAUGGGCGUAAGCCUGAACCAGCCAAGUAGCGUGAAGGACGACGGCCCUACGGGUUGUAAACUUCUUUUGUUUGGGAAUAAAAGGGGUCACGUGUGGCCUUUUGCAUGUACCAUUCGAAUAAGCAUCGGCUAAUUCCGUGCCAGCAGCCGCGGUAAUACGGAAGAUGCGAGCGUUAUCCGGAUUUAUUGGGUUUAAAGGGAGCGUAGGCGGGCUGUUAAGUCAGCGGUCAAAUGUCAGGGCCCAACCUUGGCAUGCCGUUGAAACUGGCGGUCUUGAGUUCACACAAGGAAGGUGGAAUUCGUUGUGUAGCGGUGAAAUGCUUAGAUAUGACGAAGAACUCCGAUUGCGAAGGCAGCCUUCUGGGGUGUUACUGACGCUGAGGCUCGAAAGCGCGGGUAUCAAACAGG
rnacentral:rRNA from 1 species